rnacentral:rRNA from 1 species
UACGUAGGGGGCGAGCGUUAUCCGGAAUCACUGGGCGUAAAGGGUGCGUAGGCGGCCGAUAAAGUCAGGGGUGAAAGGCUACGGCUUAACCGUAGUAAGCCUUUGAAACUUAUUGGCUUGAGUGCAGGAGAGGAGAGUGGAAUUCCUAGUGUAGCGGUGAAAUGCGUAGAUAUUAGGAGGAACACCAGUGGCGAAGGCGGCCCCCUGGAUCAAGACUGACGCUGAGGUGCGAAAGCGUGGGGAGCAAACAGG